UUGUGAGCCUGGAAAACAAUCCAACUGUAAUCCGCGAGAUUAUAGUGAAUUUCCAAGGGGUCGCUUGGGGAGUGGACGUAGGUGCUAAGGAGAGCACCGAACCACUAUACUUUGUGUUGUUUGUGUUGUGAUUUGCUUUAGCUUACUAACCAUCCAUUUGACUUGAGUAAGAUAGUUUAAAUUUAAAAGAAACCAAUUCACCCCCCCUCUUGGCUUGUCACCUUGGGCAACAAA
rnacentral:lncRNA from 1 species